CCAGGUGGUACCACACUGUUCAUCUCUCCUGUCAGGAGGUAAGGAAGUCUUUUCCCAUCAUACCAGAAGCAAAGAUCUUCUAUCAGAAAUUCCAGCACGAGGUUUCAGUCACACGCUUCCGUGUGUGAUGCUUCAGUUAUUGAUCGAUGAUUAUAAACAAUUCCUUUUAUUGAAGUUUUAAAGAAAGUAGCUUUAAAAAGAAGCACAGUUAUGAGCAUCAGGGCGAUUGGAGUCAAAAUUGGGUGUUUGAUAGAACAGCAAUUUGGCCGGCCCGAGUGUCACCGUGUUCAAGUAGCAUGUUAUAAAUGCUCAUGUUCGGAAAGGAAUGUGAAAUGCGGGAAAGGUUAGAGUGCCAAGGUCACGGUUUAUUGUGAGUGUUUUUUCCCAAAUAGGCCAUACCCUGUGUUUACAAUUAUUGCUUUAUCAUAAUAAAAAGCCAGUGAGUGUGUUGGAUUAGAAAGCUUCAGAGAAGGCUGUGUGGAAAGGAGGUCAGGGGUUCAAGAGAGCUCUGUUGUUCCUUCUGCCCUCAGGGUGCUUAUGAGAAAAGUGGGAUGCUUUGCAUUGAAUGUUAAUAGUGUGGUGGUUUUCAGCCUAGUAUAUCCUUUGUGUUGAGUAUUGAUGGUUCUUUGUGCUUUGGUUGAUGUCUGAGGUGUGUAUGUUGGCCAUUAAUAUAAAAGGAGGCUGUAUAUUUUACAUCUUUGUUAUUUUUUAUUAUUGCUUUCUAGUGAUUUUUUUUCCCCUACUUCUUUGGAAAUGUUGAUUUUUUUUUAUUUUAACAAGAUAAUUUUCUUUUUACUCAAGAGAUAAGCCCUGGUUUAAGUACUUGGGCUGUGAAAUUUAUUUGCUUUUUUGAAAUAUGUAUCUAUUUCUAUAUGUGUGUUUUGAGUGUACAGUUCACAAACUUUAGAGAUGGAAUGCACAUAGGUAGGCAGUGUGUUCAAAAUAUAAGAACUAGAUCAAACAGAUCAAAACAUAAGAAAUAAUAAGCUCCCAGGAGUGCAUCACCAUUUUCCAGUCACUUCCAUCCUCCCUACCAGAGUGAACACUAUCCUGAAUCUUAACAUCUUAUCUUUGUUUUGCCUGUUUUUGUACUUGACAUGAAUGGAUAAUCCAGUGCUCUGCCUGGCUUCCAUUUGAUCCCCAGUGUUUGUGAGAUUGAACCAUAUGGCUGCAGGUUGUUUGUUCUUGUUGUUACAGAAUAUUUCAUUGUGCAAAUAUUCCAUAAUCGAUCCAUUUGGCUCUUAAAGAUGUUAAGUAUAGCUCCAGUUCAUUCUAUUAUGAAUGGUGCAUCUACAAAUGUUCUCAUAUGUGACUUUUGCUGAAUAUCUGUAAGUGUUCCUUUUGGGUAUAUACUGAGGAGUGGAAUUACUCCACUGUAGAAUAUGCAUAUAUAUCCAGCUUGAAUAGAUGCUAUGAAGUGUAUUCAAGUAGUUGUACCAAUUUACGUUUCCACAGUAGGGUGAGAGCUCAUGAAUUUUAUUUUUGUUAUGCUGUUCUGGUGGUAGACGGGAGUUGCAUGUUCUUAGGUUCACUUCAGUUCAUGUUUGUUGUAUGGGAAGGAAUGGUCGUAGCUAUCUUCAUGGAUUCUUUGAAAGCUAAGUUAAAUAUUUGUGUCUAUUUAUGAGCUCAUUCUCUUCCCCUUUGUUUCCCUGUGUAUAUAUGUUAUGUGUGCAUGUUUUCUAUGUCUUACACACACAUGGUGUGUGUGUAUAUGCUCAGUCCUUCAGUUGGGUCCAACUCUUUGUAACCCCAUGGACUGCAGUCCCCGAAGUUCCUCUCUCCAUGAGAUUUUCUGGGCAAGAAUACUAGAGUGGGUUGCCAUUUCCUCCUCCAGCGGAUCUUCCCAACUCAGGGAUUGAACCCACAUUUCUUUGCCUCCUGCAUUGUAGGCAGAAUCUUUACCUCUGAGACACCAAGAAAGCCAGUGUGUGUGUGUGUGUGUGUGUGUGUAUUUUUUUUUUCCUCAUAAGUAUACUACUGUGUGUGUGUGUGUGUGUGUAUUUUUUUUUUUCCUCAUAAGUAUACUGCUAUGACUCUUAGACUGGAAAGUUGCAUUGAAGGGUAUCUAGCUCAGGGUCUUGCAUCUCUCCUGAACCAGCAACGAUCUUGCUUAAGUCUCUGAAAAGCACCAAUAGUUUAGAGUGACCCGUUUGUUAAUGAACUCAUGUGUUUUUGUCUUCCACAUUGUGGUGACAUCUGUUUCUUUAACUUUUCCCAUAAAUAUCAUGCCUUUUUACAGGCAUGGGGUGGGGGGAACUCAUGAUGCUUAUGAAAAGUGAAAGUGAAGUCGCUCAGUUGUUUCCGACUCUUUGCGACUGACUGCAUGGGCGGUAGCCUACCAGGCUUCUCUGUCCAUGGGAUUUUCUAGGCAAGAGUACAGGAAUGGGUUGUGAUUUCCUUCUCCAGGGGAUCUUCCUGACCCGGGGAUCAAACCCGGGUCUCCCGCAUUGCAGGCAGACACUUUACCCUCUGAGCCACCAGGGAAGCUCAUGAUGCUAAUAAUAGAGUUAAAUCUCUAGGCAGAGAUUCAUGGCAUUUAAAAAAAUCACACUUUUUAGCAUCUGCAGGGGUUUGGUCUCUGAGCAGUUUUCUCUGGGGAACUUUAGUGAAAAACCACCAUGCACAAUGGAAAAGAAAACUGUGCAAAAUUACUUUUGUUUUUGCCUAUUUACAUUUUUUGCCUUUCCUGAUUGUUUUCUGCCAUGACCAUAUGUUGAUGUUUUCCCCCUUUUGGUUGAGUUUAAACAUUGUUUAAAAUGAAAAUUUUAUAAAUGCAAAUAGCACAUUUUAUAAAUCAGGCUAUAAUAAAUGAAAUUUAAAAAAGACAACCUUGCUUU